GCAGCUGUAGCUCAGCAUUCAGAGCACCGGUCUUGUAAACCGGCCGCCGGAGGUUAGAAUCCUCCCUGCUGCU
rnacentral:tRNA from 1 species